rnacentral:rRNA from 1 species
AUGGGGAAACCCAGUGCAAUUCGUUGCACUAUUGCAUGGUGAAUACAUAGCCAUGCAAGGCGAACCGGGGGAACUGAAACAUCUAAGUACCCCGAGGAAAAGAAAUCAACCGAGAUUCCCCCAGUAGCGGCGAGCGAACGGGGAGGAGCCCAGAACCUGAAUCAGCGUAUGUGUUAGUGGAAGCGUCUGGAAAGUCGCACGGUACAGGGUGAUAGUCCCGUACACAAAAAUGCAUAUGUUGUGAGUUCGAUGAGUAGGGCGGGACACGUGACAUCCUGUCUGAAUAUGGGGGGACCAUCCUCCAAGGCUAAAUACUCCUGACUGACCGAUAGUGAACCAGUACCGUGAGGGAAAGGCGAAAAGAACCCCGGCGAGGGGAGUGAAAUAGAACCUGAAACCGUGUACGUACAAGCAGUGGGAGCACCUUCGUGGUGUGACUGCGUACCUUUUGUAUAAUGGGUCAGCGACUUAUAUUUUGUAGCAAGGUUAACCGAAUAGGGGAGCCGUAGGGAAACCGAGUCUUAACUGGGCGAAUAGUUGCAAGGUAUAGACCCGAAACCCGGUGAUCUAGCCAUGGGCAGGUUGAAGGUUGGGUAACACUAACUGGAGGACCGAACCGACUAAUGUUGAAAAAUUAGCGGAUGACUUGUGGCUGGGGGUGAAAGGCCAAUCAAACCGGGAGAUAGCUGGUUCUCCCCGAAAGCUAUUUAGGUAGCGCCUCGUGAACUCAUCUUCGGGGGUAGAGCACUGUUUCGGCUAGGGGGUCAUCCCGACUUACCAAACCGAUGCAAACUCCGAAUACCGAAGAAUGUUAUCACGGGAGACACACGGCGGGUGCUAACGUCCGUCGUGAAGAGGGAAACAACCCAGACCGCCAGCUAAGGUCCCAAAGUCAUGGUUAAGUGGGAAACGAUGUGGGAAGGCAUAGACAGCCAGGAUGUUGGCUUAGAAGCAGCCAUCAUUUAAAGAAAGCGUAAUAGCUCACUGGUCGAGUCGGCCUGCGCGGAAGAUGUAACGGGGCUAAACCAUGCACCGAAGCUGCGGCAGCGACACUUAGGUGUUGUUGGGUAGGGGAGCGUUCUGUAAGCCGUUGAAGGUGACCUGUGAGGGUUGCUGGAGGUAUCAGAAGUGCGAAUGCUGACAUAAGUAACGAUAAUGCGGGUGAAAAACCCGCACGCCGGAAGACCAAGGGUUCCUGUCCAACGUUAAUCGGGGCAGGGUGAGUCGACCCCUAAGGCGAGGCUGAAAAGCGUAGUCGAUGGGAAACAGGUUAAUAUUCCUGUACUUGGUGUUACUGCGAAGGGGGGACGGAGAAGGCUAGGCUAGCCGGGCGACGGUUGUCCC